AGAGUUUGAUCCUGGCUCAGGACGAACGCUGGCGGCGUGCCUAACACAUGCAAGUCGAGCGAUGAAGCCCUUCGGGGUGGAUUAGCGGCGGACGGGUGAGUAACACGUGGGUAACCUGCCUCAAAGAGGGGGAUAGCCUCCCGAAAGGGAGAUUAAUACCGCAUAACAUUAGCUUUUCGCAUGAAGAACUAAUUAAAGGAGUAAUCCGCUUUGAGAUGGACCCGCGGCGCAUUAGCUAGUUGGUGAGGUAACGGCUCACCAAGGCGACGAUGCGUAGCCGACCUGAGAGGGUGAUCGGCCACAUUGGAACUGAGACACGGUCCAGACUCCUACGGGAGGCAGCAGUGGGGAAUAUUGCACAAUGGGCGAAAGCCUGAUGCAGCAACGCCGCGUGAGUGAUGAAGGCCUUCGGGUUGUAAAGCUCUGUCUUUUGGGACGAUGAUGACGGUACCAAAGGAGGAAGCCACGGCUAACUACGUGCCAGCAGCCGCGGUAAUACGUAGGUGGCAAGCGUUGUCCGGAUUUACUGGGCGUAAAGGAUGCGUAGGCGGAUAUUUAAGUCAGAUGUGAAAAUCCCGGGCUUAACUUGGGAACUGCAUUUGAAACUGGAUAUCUAGAGUGCGGGAGAGGAGAGUGGAAUUCCUAGUGUAGCGGUGAAAUGCGUAGAUAUUAGGAGGAACACCAGUGGCGAAGGCGACUUACUGGACUGUAACUGACGCUGAGGCGCGAAAGCGUGGGGAGCAAACAGGAUUAGAUACCCUGGUAGUCCACGCUGUAAACGAUGGAUACUAGGUGUGGGA
rnacentral:rRNA from 1 species